GGGAGGUUGAGAACUGCAGAGUUAAAGCCAGGCUGACCUCUGAGGACUCACUAAUUCCAGCCAGAAGUUUUACCCUCUGAACCUCUGUUCCUUGCCUUAGGAAAGAAGGAUCAGGCCUCAGGCUCCCAGUAAUUACGACGAAGGUCCACAAGUAAACUCAGUGGGCUGUGCAAACUUGAACUGGAGAAGUCUAGCACUAGGCAAAUCAUGAUCCUGGCACUUCCAUUGUUUGUCUUUUGUGACAAGAUCUCACUUUGCAGACCAGGAUAGCU
rnacentral:sRNA from 1 species